CCACUGGUCUCCCUCUAGUACCUUCAUGUCUAUCUUGUAUUGGGGGCCCAGACCAACGCACAGUACACCAUUUCUCUGCAAGGUUAUCUGUAUGGGAACCAUUGAAUCAUGGCCUGAACCUCUGAUUGAUCAGCCGAGGCGAGCACUGAGUCAGCUGUGGGAGCACAGGUGAAGGCAAUUCAGCUGUGUGACCAGAAGGGAUAUAGCAUGGCUGCACCUCUCCUGGACCCCACUUAAGGGCUGACUGCCACUGGGGAAGGAUCUCUUUCUGGAGAUCACUCCUCUUGGAGUUUUUUCUGUGAGCCUACAACGCUGGCGCUUGACAGUCUUGUUAGUGGAUGCCAAUGUCAAAUGUGUUUGGAUAUCCCUGAGUACUCUGCUUGUUGCUCUGGUCCGUGUGCCUUGACCUGUCAUUUCAAGACUGCCUCUCCUUUCAGAAAGAGAUUCCCAGGGAGACAAACCUCAGAUAAGUACUCUGUUGGACCACAGUCACUGCAAAGGGUCCUACUUUAAAAAAUUGUAUGUAAAAGAGUGAUUUUUAUUUAACUCUGGAGUUGAAGUCCCUUGCCAAUUUUUUGGUCAGAGUUAUCAAAAAGAUAAACACACAGUAAGUGCUGGAGUAUGGAAAGCAGACAAACUAUGGGAGCUGCAUGUGGGAAAAGCCAUAUCUCGUGGUGGGAAGCUCUGCCUUACUGCAAUGAGGGCAACAGGUGCUUAAUGGCUGCCCUCAAAAAACACGGCUUCUGCCAAAAAAAUUACGUUACUUUCCUAGUAUAGGCCUGUAUAAAAGAAAUAGCACUAAAGCCACCCUCAAAGGCCUGUCCUCAUUUGUUUGUUUAUUUUAGUGCACUUUUAAAAUACUACUUAUUACAUAUUUCCAUGAACGUUGCUGCACAAAUGUUACCACUGUGUAGGACAGCUGCCAGGUUACCACCUUUAUGUUGUGGUAGUGGUUUGGUGAUGCAGAACCCCAUGUGCCGGUCACAUGGAAGGGUCUCUCCUUUAUUUUUCUGUGCUAAAAAGUGUCUUUUGGACAAUCUCUCUCCUCUGUGUUGCUUUCACCAGGUAUCUCUGGGCAUGUGAGUGCUGCUAGAAUUCUUCUGUAGGACCAGAACUGCUUUCCACCUGCUAGGAAGGAGGAAUUGCUUACACGACCUGGAGGGAAAAACAAAAAUUUGCUGGUAUUUCUUUGAUCAGUAGGAAAUGAAUAUUCUGUGUUCAGACAAGUAUGGAGGAUUGGUCAGUGGCCAUAAAUCACACAUAACUAAAAAGAGUGGCGUGGAGCACCAUGAAGGCCUGGUGUUCUUUCUCUUGAUGCUUUGUAUGCCUUCAGGCUGCAGGCAGGGAUGCAAAUGGACUGACAUGGAUGGGACUGAGUUCGUCUGUAGCAAAAUCUGUAACGGAAACGCUGUGCUUCUGUUUCAGAAGACAAACAUUUCACCUUUGCUGACAUCAAAAAUCUCCUCUCCGUGAAAGAAGUGGCGCUGAAAAUCAGCCUUACUUACUGGAGGUGACCUUACUGUGCUGGAUGCUCACGGCUGGUGGGGCAAUGGGAGAGCUCAGGUGCAUGCCCACAUUUCUUGCAGAGUGAUGCAAGGAUGAGCAGCUUGCCCUGGAGGCAGCAAGCAGACGUUUCCUAUCGCCCAGCAUCUGCUGUUUGAGACGUUUCCCAAAGAAGAGGCCAAGUAGGUCUCCUGCAGUUUAAUGCGCACAUCAUCAGAAGCUCGAGUGUGCCUCUGUUUGUCGUGCUGAGAAAUGCUGUGAGCGGUCAGAACCAAGAAAAAUUGGGCUUUGGGACCCUUAUUACAGGAUGGACUUGAUUCAAGGGCUUUGAUGGAUGCACUGCAGCCAGAUCAACGAUUCUGACCCUCCCUUCUCCAGGAGUAUCAUCCUGACUUCUGCAGCAAGACCAACAGCAAGGACACAACAGGAGUGCAUGGGUGGGGCUGCUGGAGUCUAACUGAGAUUUGCAGUAUUGUAGACAUUUAGUACAGCUCCAUCUGGUUUUAAUGCACGUAAACCUCCUUGGUGUUUCCUCUUAUAUAGAGCUAACUUUAGCCUUUGUGCUACAGUAACAAAUCCAUCACCGACACUCUACAGAGAAGCUUUUCUUCUAUUCCCCCUCAAUUUCACUACUCAGUGAAAUAAUACGUAACAUAGCAUAGAAUCAUAGAAUCGUAGAAUGGUUUGGGUUGGAAGGGACCUUUAAGAUGACCUGGUUCCAACCCCCUGCUAUAGGGGGCUCUAUUCACCUCCCCCUAGACCAGGUUGCUCACAGCCACAUCCAGCCUGGCCUUGAAUGCUUCUAGGGAGGGGCAUCCACAGCCUCACUGGGCAACCUGUUCCCGUGUCUCACCGCCCUCACGGUAAACAAUUUCUUCCUGAUAUCUAGACUACCCUCUUCCAGUUCAAAAAAUAUAUAUAAUCCCAAAGUCUGACACAUCUAUUUAGACUCACAGUUUUCAAAUGCUAUUUAUAAUCAAUAUACUGUAUAAAAGCCCAACCCUUCCACAAUUCUGUAAGUCACAUGUUUAAAAUAUAUAUAUAUAUUAUUCAUUCUACCAUGUGUAAGUAACGAAAACAAAAGAAAAGUGACCUAUAUUCUGAAUGCUCUUAUUCUGCUUUGGGUAUAGGCAGCAACAGCAUCAAAAGAAACAGAAUGAUAUAAAGCCUAAUAAGUAGCUGUCUGCAUAAUAGUAAAUACAAAAAGCCAGGAAGGUAGCAAAAAUACCUUUGAUCUUAUAUAUUAUUUACCUCUUUGAGUACAUAAAAUAAAA
ensembl:lncRNA